GCCCAAGUGGCAACACUGGCAACAGGCAACACUGCAUCACACUUGAAAUCGGAGAACCGCUAUCUAGACCGAGAUUGUAAGACCAGUCGUCACCGGGGUCGGACGUAAGGCCGCCUCCUAGUAGUAGCGUAGCAGUCUUUCAAUAUUAUUUUUGCAGUUAAUUAUUCUGAUAGUUAUUUAUUCUUUUUGUUGCAGAUUCUGUUUAUCGAUAGGAAAAUUCCCCGAUAAAUUCGGUAUAGACCUCAUCUGAGGUCUAAGAAGUAGGAGGAGCAAUUAAAACUCGAAUAAAA